GUCCUGGUUGCCUGUUUCCUGCAGAAGUCUUCUGUGUUAUAACUUAAGGUGAAUGGUAAUAUUAACACUGGCUGUUCGAAACAAAAGAGUGAUCUUGAUCUAGUCACUCAUGCCCAAAGGGAUGUGUGGGGCCCCUGAAUACAGGAGGGGUUAAAAAGUGAUUCCUAUGAUCAGCAGUGAAUUUAAAGAAGCUCUGCAGUGUAGAGAAACAAGGGAUUCCAGACACACUUCUCCAUUUGGCAUUUCUUUCAGCAGCUUGACUGACUGAGGCCUCUGGCUGCUGGGAAUCCCAUUGCUAUGCAUGUAAGUGCUUUGUGAUCUCACAGGGGUUGCAGCCUGGGCUAAGACUGCACAGCCUGCUCUGGAAGCUGGGCCCCUGCAGCAGAAGUGAGCAUAACAUCACCAUAUGUGAGUCCCACUGAAGAUGCAAGCAGCAUUGGCCCAAGGAAAUGGAAGGCGGGUGUCCGGUGUCCUCAGGCCUGCUUCAGUAUUUUGACAGACACCUGGAGUAGGAUGUGAACCAGAUUUAACAGAAAACUGCUUAACACUUUGUGAAGAAGAGCCUUCCGCUAGGCUUAAGAACUGGAUUAGAAAUGACUGGAUUUCUCAUGAAGGAGGCAUCAGUCAUGAAGUUUUAUUUCUUUGAGUGCUCUCAAGAGACCAGGCAGAUCUGAUCUGCAAGGAGCACUGCUGACUCAGGCUGCUGCGGGAAGGUGUCGAAGGUCAGCCAAGGAAAUCUCUGACCUUCAGUUUGCCACUGACUGUCACUUGGGUUUUCCUGCCUGGAAGAGAGGCGGUGGCCUGGGGUAGCUGGGGAGGAAACAGAGACCAGAACCAUUGACCUCAAUCUAAACACAGUACAGAAAAAGACAAUGAACUCUAGGAGGAAAAACACAGGAGUGAUUUACCUAGGAGGAAGUGAGAAUAUUAAAUUCUUUUAAGUAACUUCAGGAGGUGUAAUAGAGGAAAUCUAUUGAAAACACACAGAGAAGACAGCUGUUUCUAGCCAGCCAGUCCUGUGACACACAGAAGUGUGGGAUAUCUACUAUAUAAUUCAUAUUUUACAAAUUAUUAAAUCUGUGAAUGCCAUGGGAUUAUUGCAGUUGUGCAUUCGUACUGUUUUUCUGCAUCUGGAAAAGUAGAAAGGUUAUAAACUGUAAUAAAUUCAUCCUAAUUUAUCUGUUCAUCUGACUGUAUAUUCAACGUGGCAAAAUUGUAAGCCCACUUGUCCAGUGUUGACAAAGAUUUUUAAUGUGGGUCACAGUGACCUGUGAUGAAGUUGCUCUCAUUGAAGGUCUGCUUUACCCGUUUUACAUAGCACUACCUCUUGUUCUUCCUCUCCCUCUUCUCUCCUCUUCCCUCUUUCAUAUAUCUAAAAAUAUGUUGUGUUUAAUACAGAGAACUGUAGCUAUGUGAAUUGCCAAAAUGCUGGUAAGAUUUUGGUUUUUCCUUUUCUGCAGAGUUUGCACAAGUGUGUCGCCUUGGCUUUAAGUUUUCACAAGACUUCUGCUCUUGAAGCUUAUCCUUACCAGAGAGUGAGAAGGCCUUUGUACAGUCAAGCUGCUUUUUAAAAAACAUGGGAAAGUGGCUGGAAGACCAGUUUUUAACAGUGGACAAGUUAUCAAUAGUAACUUACACAAUCACACUCCGAACAGAAAUUCUUUGAUUUUAUUCAUUACAAUAUUAUAUUACAGUGACUCUGGUUUCCAUGUACUAGAAGUGUAUAUCAUAUCCUUAUGUUCUUAGACACAGAGAUCAUUAACAUACGUACAGGGUAAUUCUUAUACUCUAACUGCGCCUGGCUGACUGACGGCACCUAUGCAUGUGGAGGGGACAGAGCACCAGAAUUUAUGUCUCUUAAAGGAAUUGUGUCCUGUCAGAUGAUGAAGAUUAAAUAAUGGAAAGUAUUUUCUUUC